rnacentral:rRNA from 1 species
AACGAACGCUGGCGGCAUGCCUAACACAUGCAAGUCGAACGAGACCUUCGGGUCUAGUGGCGCACGGGUGCGUAACGCGUGGGAACCUGCCCUUAGGUUCGGAAUAACUCCCCGAAAGGGGUGCUAAUACCGGAUAAUGUCUUCGGACCAAAGAUUUAUCGCCUUUGGAUGGGCCCGCGUUGGAUUAGCUAGUUGGUAGGGUAAAAGCCUACCAAGGCGACGAUCCAUAGCUGGUCUGAGAGGAUGAUCAGCCACACUGGGACUGAGACACGGCCCAGACUCCUACGGGAGGCAGCAGUGGGGAAUAUUGGACAAUGGGCGAAAGCCUGAUCCAGCAAUGACGCGUGAGUGAUGAAGGCCUUAGGGUUGUAAAGCUCUUUUAACCGGGAUGAUAAUGACAGUACCGGGAGAAUAAGCGCCGGCUAACUACGUG